UACCACAGCUACUGGCCUGAAAUUGCUCUAUACUGUAGCAGUUUCAGUAUUCCAACUGUGGGAAAUCAGUAGUUACACAAUGUCCCAAUUCUCCUUUCUCAAGUGAGCGAAUUGGAUUUCAGUGUAACAGACAAGA